rnacentral:rRNA from 1 species
CCUACGGGGGGCUGCAGUGGGGAAUAUUGCGCAAUGGGGGGAACCCUGACGCAGCAACGCCGCGUGAGCGAUGAAGGCCUUCGGGUCGUAAAGCUCUGUCUUAAGGGAUGAUAAUGACAGUACCUUAAGAGGAAGCCCCGGCUAACUACGUGCCAGCAGCCGCGGUAAUACGUAGGGGGCGAGCGUUGUCCGGAAUUACUGGGUGUAAAGGGCCCGUAGGCGGUUAUUUAAGUCAGCUGUGAAAGUCCAGGGCUUAACCCUGGAAUUGCAAUUGAAACUGAAUAACUUGAGAUAAGGAGAGGAGAGCGGAAUUCCUAGUGUAGCGGUGAAAUGCGUAGAUAUUAGGAAGAACACCAGUGGCGAAGGCGGCUCUCUGGCCUUACCCUGACGCUGAGGGGCGAAAGCGUGGGUAGCGAACAGGCUUAGAUACCCCGGUAGUC